GGCCAGAUGGCGGAGUGGUUAACGCGACAGCCUAGAAUACAAUUCGAUAGCUGUUUCCUUCGGGAGCGUAGGUUCGAGUCCUACUCUGGUCG